rnacentral:rRNA from 1 species
UCGGGAAUUUUGGGCAAUGGGCGAAAGCCUGACCCAGCAACGCCGCGUGAAGGAUGAAGUAUUUCGGUAUGUAAACUUCGAAAGAAUAGGAAGAAUAAAUGACGGUACUAUUUAUAAGGUCCGGCUAACUGCGUGCCAGCAGCCGCGGUAAUACGUAGGGACCAAGCGUUGUUCGGAUUUACUGGGCGUAAAGGGCGCGUAGGCGGCAAUUCAAGUCAUCUGUGAAAUCUCCGGGCUUAACUCGGAACGGUCAGAUGAUACUGCUUUGCUAGAGUGCAGAAGGGGCAAUCGGAAUUCUUGGUGUAGCGGUGAAAUGCGUAGAUAUCAAGAGGAACACCUGAGGUGAAGACGGGUUGCUGGGCUGACACUGACGCUGAGGCGCGAAAGCCAGGGGAGCAAACGGGAUUAGAUACCCUCGUAGUCCCUGAGCGGGCUGGCAAGGCGCAU